GUAGUUGAACCUUGGGCCUGGCUGGCCGGUCCGCCUCACCGCGUGCACUGGUCCGGCCGGGCCUUUCCCUCUGUGGAACCCCAUGCCCUUCACUGGGCGUGGCGGGGAAACAGGACUUUUACUUUGAAAAAAUUAGAGUGCUCCAGGCAGGCCUAUGCUCGAAUACAUUAGCAUGGAAUAAUGAAAUAGGACGCGCGGUUCUAUUUUGUUGGUUUCUAGGACCGCCGUAAUGAUUAAUAGGGACAGUCGGGGGCAUCAGUAUUCAAUGGUCAGAGGUGAAAUUCUUGGAUCCAUUGAAGACUAACUACUGCGAAAGCAUUUGUCAAGGAUGUUUUCAUUAAUCAGGAACGAAAGUUAGGGGAUCGAAGACGAUCAGAUACC
rnacentral:rRNA from 1 species